CAACUACGUGCCAGCAGCCGCGGUAAGACGUAGGGCGCGAGCGUUGUCCGGAUUUAUUGGGCGUAAAGAGCUCGUAGGCGGCUUGUUGCGUCGUCCGUGAAAACCUGGGGCUCAACUCCAGGCUUGCGGUCGAUACGGGCAGGCUAGAGUUCGGUAGGGGAGACUGGAAUUCCUGGUGUAGCGGUGAAAUGCGCAGAUAUCAGGAGGAACACCGGUGGCGAAGGCGGGUCUCUGGGCCGAUACUGACGCUGAGGAGCGAAAGCGUGGGGAGCGAACAGGAUUGGAUACCCUGGUAGUCCACGCUGUAAACGUUGGGCGCUAGGUGUGGGGGGCCUCUCCGGUUUCCUGCGCCGUAGCUAACGCAUUAAGCGCCCCGCCUGGGGAGUACGGCCGCAAGGCUAAAACUCAAAGGAAUUGACGGGGGCCCGCACAAGCGGCGGAGCAUGCGGAUUAAUUCGAUGCGACGCGAAGAACCUUACCUGGGUUUGACAUGGCCGUUAAAGCCGUAGAGAUACGGUGUCCUUCGGGGGCGGU
rnacentral:rRNA from 1 species